rnacentral:rRNA from 1 species
GACGAACGCUGGCGGCGUGCUUAAUACAUGCAAGUCGAGCGAGGUUACUGUUUCGGAUCCCUUCGGGGUGAAGAAGCUUUAACCUAGCGGCGGACGGGUGAGUAACGCGUGGGUAACCUACCCCAAAGUCCGGGAUAACAGCGGGAAACCGCUGCUAAUACCGGAUGCCUUUACCUUGGGGCAUCUUGAGGUAAAGAAAGGUAACGCUUUGGGAUGGGCCCGCGUCCCAUUAGCUAGUUGGUGAGGUAACGGCUCACCAAGGCGACGAUGGGUAGCCGGCCUGAGAGGGUGGACGGCCACACUGGGACUGAGACACGGCCCAGACUCCUACGGGAGGCAGCAGUAGGGAAUAUUGCGCAAUGGACGGAAGUCUGACGCAGCGACGCCGCGUGAGCGAUGAAGGUCUUCGGAUCGUAAAGCUCUGUCCUUGGGGAAGAAGGCGAAAGCUUGACGGUACCCAAGAAGAAAGCCCCGGCUAACUACGUGCCAGCAGCCGCGGUAAUACGUAGGGGGCGAGCGUUGUCCGGAAUUACUGGGCGUAAAGGGUGCGUAGGCGGCCCUUUAAGUCGGAUGUGAAAGCCCGCGGCUUAACCGCGGAAUGGCAUUCGAAACUGGAGGGCUUGAGUGUCGGAGAGGGUAGUGGAAUUCCCAGUGUAGCGGUGAAAUGCGUAGAUAUUGGGAGGAACACCAGUGGCGAAGGCGACUACCUGGACGAUAACUGACGCUGAGGCACGAAAGCUAGGGGAGCAAACAGG